AGGCAACCUGUGUACAGGUACAUGCCUCUGGUGAUAGUUAAAGGGAGAUCUGCAACUGGAGCAUGUAUGUUCUGAUAUUGCACCAGGAUUCUGUUUGUGCUGUCCUCCUGAAAAAUGAUGAUGAACAUCUUUUCAUUUAUCCACCAACAUCUUUGAUGAGGAGCUCCAUUAUGUUUAAUCAAGUCAAAAAUCUAUGAAACAUCACAUUCUAAGAAGACAGAAAGUGGACAGGGGAGAAAGAAUAAGAGGAAUAAAAAUCAAUGUCAGAAAUGAAAUAAAGACUACUGCUAUCAACGCUAAAAAGAUGAUCAAGAAAUAAAAGAAUGCCGUCAGUAACUCAGUGUUGGUAUGAAAGCCACAACCUGUGAAAACUCAUACCAGAAGACAUAUAUAAUAGGAAUAAGACUAUAUAUAUUGAUUAUAUUUUAUUAACUAUUGCUAUUUAAUAACUAUUCAAAACAGGAAGAACAGAACAAAUGGGAUCUUACAAGAUUUCAAGAAAAAUUAUAGUUAAUCACCUUUGUUUAAGUAUAUAGUUUCAUAUAAUGAAGGAAUUUCAUUAUAUAUUUUAUUUAAUGGGAUAAAUCUAAAUGAUUUGUUUCUUGUUUAUUUCUAUCAUCUUUUCAAUGAAAUGAAAAGUUUUGUUGUUUUUUAAAAAAUAUCAGUUUCAAGUAUGAAUAUUCACAAUAAUAUUA